AAGUAUGUUGGGUUAACAGAUUCUUACUUAUCUGUAGUGAAGGCCCUUCUGCAUGCAUGUGUUGCAUGUUCAUUGAAGCCAUCCAUUGACUGGAUUGCAGCAUCAGAUCUUGAAGAUGAUAGUGCUCAAUCGACCCCAGAAGCUUAUGCAACAGCCUGGAAGACUCUAAAGGGUGCAGCAUGUGUCUUGGUUCCUGGUGGGUUUGGUGAUCGUGGGAUCAAGGGGAUGAUAUUGGCUGCAAAGUAUGCUAGGGAAAAU
rnacentral:misc_RNA from 1 species